AGCGAACGCUGGCGGCAGGCUUAACACAUGCAAGUCGAGCGGGCAUCUUCGGAUGUCAGCGGCAGACGGGUGCGUAACACGUGGGAACGUACCCUUCGGUUCGGAACAACUCUGGGAAACUGGAGCUAAUACCGGAUACGCCCUUAUGGGGAAAGGUUUACUGCCGAAGGAUCGGCCCGCGUCUGAUUAGCUAGUUGGUGGGGUAACGGCCUACCAAGGCGACGAUCAGUAGCUGGUCUGAGAGGAUGAUCAGCCACACUGGGACUGAGACACGGCCCAGACUCCUACGGGAAGCAGCAGUGGGGAAUAUUGGACAAUGGGCGCAAGCCUGAUCCAGCCAUGCCGCGUGAGUGAUGAAGGCCUUAGGGUUGUAAAGCUCUUUUGUCCGGGACGAUAAUGACGGUACCGGAAGAAUAAGCCCCGGCUAACUACGUG
rnacentral:rRNA from 1 species